GGUGAACGCUGGCGGCGUGCUUAAGACAUGCAAGUCGAACGGCAGUCUUCGGACUGUAGUGGCGCACGGGUGAGUAACGCGUAACUGACCUACCCCAAAGUCGCGGAUAACGAUUCGAAAGAAUCGCUAAUACGUGAUGUGCUGUCAGAUUGUGUUCUGCCAGUAAAGAUUGAUUGCUUUGGGAUGGGGUUGCGUUCCAUCAGCUAGUUGGUGGGGUAAAGGCCCACCAAGGCGACGACGGAUAGCCGGCCUGAGAGGGUGGCCGGCCACAGGGGCACUGAGACACGGGUCCCACUCCUACGGGAGGCAGCAGUUAGGAAGCUUCCACAAUGGGCGACAGCCUGAUGGAGCGACGCCGCGUGAGGGAUGAAGGUCUUCGGAUCGUAAACCUCUGAAUCAGAGACGAAAGACACUUCGGUGGGAUGACGGUACCUGAGUAAUAGCACCGGCUAACUCCGUGCCAGCCGCCGCCGUAAUAC
rnacentral:rRNA from 1 species